AGCGUAGGUGGCCUAACAUGUCAACUGUGAAAACCCGGAGCUCAACUCCGGACUUGCAGUUGAAACUGGUAGGCUUGAGGACGGUAGAGGAAGACGGAACUGCCAGUGUAGGGGUAAAAUCCUUAGAUAUUGGCAGGAACGCCGGUGACGAUGGUGGUUUUCUGGGCCGGUUCUGACACUGAUGCUCGAAAGCCAGGGGAGCGAACG
rnacentral:rRNA from 1 species